GCCUGUUAAUACAUUUCCUUCUGGAGCCGCAGCAGGGGCGGAAAUCGAGACGAGGAUUUGACAGCGUACCGCCGGUAAGCAGAAGCUAUGGCAUUUCACAUGCUGCACACAGGCUGUCCCACUCGCUGCACAUUCGCAUCAUUGCUCAUCAGCCGUAGCCUCCUACCUGAAUGUAUUAAUGCGACCCAAUCGCCGGCGGCCGAGAUAAAAACAGUGGAGAAUGGCUGCGUGCGCGCGGCUACGCGUGAUUGGCUGCUGGGAAAACGGGGCGCUGGGCGAUCUCUGAGACAGUGAAGCUGCUCUCUCGUUCACCAAUGGUGCCACAGCGGAGGAUAACGUGGUACCUGCCGAAAAGCAAGGCUGAGGUGCACUAGCCUCAGUCGGCGAGAAGACCCACGAGGGCGGUGCCCUCACCACUGCUGCAUCGGGCUCCUACAUCUGGGCACCUCCAUCAGGCAGGUGCUCCAUUAUCAAUGCUUUUCCGACUUCUGAGGGGAUAUUCGAGUCACCUGCGGCAAGGCUGAUCCCUACGCUGGUGAGCGUCAGCGUUUUCGGGGUGCCGUCGGUGUUCGACCCAUCACAUUCUCGCUCUCGUUCUUGCUUUCUUUCUUUUUUUUUUGCGUCGUCGCACGCCUGCUCUCGGUGGCGCUGCUUCGCCUUGCCGUGCAGAGAAUUUGGUGGAACACGUACGAUGGCGUGGUCAGUUUUUCUUGACUGCGCUGACGUCAAGCUCGUCCAGUUAACACUGUGGAUGUUUUAUGUUGGCACUUCUGCAGUCUAAAUGAAUACACGUAGAUCCACUGGACUGUGCUGGUUGCUGUUGUAUUCGCUUGCGGAUUUCGGGGCUCCAGGAUUCUGACUAUCCUCUUGUCAUAUGCAGUGAAACAGCUCGCGGUUGCCUUCCCGACUCUUCACUGUAUGCUUUUUGGCGGUAUUCGCUACGUGCACACCGCUGCAGGGUGCCUAGCUCUUUUUUACUGUUUUUUUUUUUUCGUCGCAGCCGUCACACUCGUCCACAAUUCUGCAAACGCGUCUUCUACCUGCGCAUGUCUUCUUACUGCCGUCUCUGGCCGGCAGCUGUCCUCCUUCCCGAUGGCGGUGUGUGCAGUGAUUGGCAGCCUCGCUGGCGCGGCUGCUUACAGGAAACUUUGCGAUACACUUGAGUGACCCUGCACGGUGGCGGUGUCUCGCAGUAACGCACAUCAUCAGAGGCGGCGUGGAUUGCGAUGAGCUUCUCCAUUGACGUGGUGCUUCUCGCGCUCCCUAUGCCGUGCCGUGACGCCGCUUACCGAUGCCUUCAGCGGGACCUCGGCGCUCUUUCCAUCACGGCGAAGCACAUCGCAUGCAUUUUUCUUUUUCGGGGGAGGGGAGGCGGCCUCUCCACUCUUUUUACGACUGCUAACCAGCACUGGGUCACCGCAGGCAUGGUGACAAAUUCUGGUCGCUUCCUUCGGCGGCUGUUCUACGGUGCUCUUCUCUCCCUCCUUGCUCAGGUGGCGACGCGGUAACUUCAAGGUGAAACGCAUGGGCGUCGUUGGGUGUCUGGCCGCCGGUUGCGUAGUUUCGGGACUCAUGUUAGUUCUUCUACUAGGGGCUGUGAUGGCCCUCAUAGAAAACGUAUCAACGUACAUGCAUGCAUGUGAGGCAUGGGCUGAGGAGGCAGACAGCUCUAUGACGUCAAAAUGGGAUCAUAUGUUAUCCAGUGAGGCAUCGGAAAGGCACCUCUCUCUCUCUGUGGUCGUGGCAGUUCAGCAUACGUCAAAUCUGGGAUGCUCUCUCGCUGAGCUCUCAUCUGCGCGUGAGGGUAUGCUCUCGCGAACGAAGAUGUUGCCAUUGGCGUGUGUCGGUGCCUUGACAAGUAUAUCUUUUCUUUGGGUGUGCCAACCUGUCGAUGCCUCCUGAAUAGCGCUUCAGAGAGGAGGGAGGGGAGAGGCUCUUGUCUGGUGCUUGUGUGUGCGUUUUGCCUUUACGCACAUACAUGUUUAUGACUUUUUUUUUUCACGUUCUUAUCACUGUCCGGCAGGUGGCCGACGAGAACUUGGAAGACGUAGAGGACAUUGCCCGGCCUGUGGUUCUCGAGCUCCCCAGAGUCCGCCUCGACUUUGCGCGGCCUUCCCUCUGGUGAAGGGCGGCAGUGUCGUUUUCUUAUGCUUCGCGUAGAUUUUGUACCUGUCCCUCCCUCCCUGUGUACGUGCGGCCGAGUAUCUCCACCUCUGCUGCUCUGCUGCUCUGCUGCGCGCAGCCGCUCUCUGCGUUUUUUAUUUGUGCUCCUCUGCGUGUGUGACCUUUUCGCUAACUGCUCGUCUAUUCCCUUUUCUUCGCCAGUCGUGAGAAAGGCGGCUGCUCCUCGCAUUUCCGCUUUCCUACGACGUCGUGUUCUUCUAUUCGUGUCCCCCGCGCGGUACAGGCUGCACAG
rnacentral:misc_RNA from 1 species